UGUGGAAAUGGAGAGUGAUCAGACUGAACAUCAUAGGCAUGACGCAUCGUCGUCCUCGGCACCAUCAAGACAUGUUUACAAUACUGGGAGUUGUUUUUCAUACAUGAGGAGAUUUGUACAGAGAAGUUGAGUCCAUAGAGAGAGGAAAUGGCCACUGAAACAGACCAUCUUGAUCACCAACAACACCAUCAAACCUAUGGAAACAAAUGGUCAUGCCUAGAACUAUCAUCAGAGAAGGGAGAAUCCCAGGAUGUAUCCAUCUCUCAAAUUCUGGAUUGCAGUUCGAUAUCUUUUGGAAGAUACAAUUCAGACACGCUUGCAUGGGAAAAAUAUUCUGUUUUCUCCCACAACAGAUGUCAGGAGGAGUUGGAGAAAUUCAAGGCACCAGAAUUAGUUGCUCAGAAGAAGGCAUACUUAGAGGAAUACUAUAAAAAAAUUAGAGCUAUGAAGGGAUUGCAAGCAGAGCAAGAAACUACUCAAACUGAUUCCUAUCAAAAUGGACAGGAGAUUACUACACAGGAAGAAAAUGGUGUUGAUACUGAAGCAUCAAAAAAGGAAAGUAAACCUAGCAAUACUAGUCAGGAAGAUGAUGGUGCUGAUGUUCAAAGAUCAAAAGAAGAAAACAAGCUUAGCAAUGUCUAUAAAAUCCAGAUUUUAGAUAAUCAUACCACUGGUAAUAUUAACGCAUCUAGGAGAGGCAUUAAUGAUUGAGUAGAAGACGAAAGUUACCUUAAUGGGAACAGUGGUGGAGCUGGCAAAGAAGAUGAAAUAGGGGUAUGCUUUUCUGCCAGAAUACCAAAAUAUUCUAUGGAAGAUGGUUCCUCGUCAUGUACUCCAUCGGUAAAAAGCAGUUCCAAAACUAGACAGAAAGGGAGCCCAGUCAGCAAUGAAAACAAGAACAAUGGAGGCACACUGAAGAAGCAGGCAUCUAGUAUGAGGGUCAAGGGGACUGUUGUUUCUGCUGCAAACAGAACAAAAUCGGACUGCAGAAUGAGCAAAGAUGUGGUUAAGCCAUCCGAGAAGCCAAAGCCAUCUUUUUGUAAGGAUUUACAAGCAAGGCAGAUGUUAUUCUUGUUUCAGGCAAAAUAAUUACCACCAAGACCGCAAGCAACAAAAAAUAUGACCAGGUUCAAUCACAUAGACAAAGUAGGGAAGUACAAUCAAGUGCAACAGUUCUUCAUGCUUCAUUAACAAAGGGCAAAAUAGUCUCACUGUCUUCUAAUAUUAGAGGUGGUCCACCUAAAACACAUUCAACUCCCAAAAGCUUGUCAGACACGCUACCAGGAACAUCAUCAGCUCUCACUUGACCUGCUCAGAGAAGUUCGAAAGUGAUGACCGCCAUUAGUCAUUUGAGAAAAUUCAGUGUAGAUAACAGGAGCUGUGAUGGAUUUGGUCAGAGGUCUUUGGGGUUGAGUGGCCACCAUAGUCUUCCAAAGAGUAGAGAAUCUGAGAGCCAGAGACCAAAAGUCGUGU